UCCCUGGUAGUAUAUCGGUUAGUACACGCGCCUGUCACUUUGCGGUGCGCGCGAAAGCGGGGUUCGACUCCCCGCCAGGGAG
rnacentral:tRNA from 1 species